GGUAAUCUUUCCUGAGUAGCUGAUUCCUUUCUUGUUUGGAUUUAUGUGACCUUAAUAGCUGUAGCAACUUGUUAAAAUAAAUGAGACCUGGACAAUUCCAAGAUCCCCAUACUUACAGUGUUUUCUUCAUAGGUUGCAGCAGUGAUCUGACAAUAAACUCUCCAAAUACAACCCUUUGCUCAGCUCCUGUUGUCAAAAAUAGGAAGAGGACUUCAAUGCAGAGCCAAAGCCCAAAGGCAGGAUCAACCAACUCUGUGAAAAGAGCCUGUUAUUCUCCAGAAUCCUCACCUGCAUCACUGCUAAAACCAGUCAGCAGCAGAGGACAGUCAUGUGAAUCACCCUUGAAGCCUGCAAUACAUGAUUAUGUAGAUGUUUCUAGAAAAACAGAGUCUCCUGUGUCUGAAAGCAAAACAACUACAUUAGAAGAUGUUGAAGCGCUGUGCCGAAGUCUUGCCAUGUUUUUGGACCCCGAGGAUGAUCACGGGUCUGUUGGAUCACCUUUUCCUUUGGAGAAAGGGAAAAGUUCUCCAGUAGUUAAAUUAUGUCUUGAUGGUUGGAAUACACCUACUGCAGCAAAGAACUGUGGAGGAGUUGAAAAUUUGGAAGGACCUCAGACUGGGAGAG